rnacentral:rRNA from 1 species
AUGGCGCCGGCCCCCGCGCCGAUUCGCGACCUCCUCACCUCCUUCAGCCACUCGUCCGACUUCCUCGCCCUCUCGUCGGGCGACGGCCGCAUCAAGGUAUGGGACGCCGUGCGCGGGCACUUGCAGACGGAGUUCGCCGACAUCCCCUCGGUGGAGGUCGGGGCGCUCCGCGAGACGAAGCGCGGCCACCUCGCCCUCGACUACACCUGCAUGAAGUGGGUACAACUCUCCACCAAGAAGAAGAGGAAGGCUGGGAGCUCGCUGCUCGUGCUUGGGACGGGCAGUGGAGAUGUCCUUGCACUCGACGUUGCUGCGGGCCAUUGGAAGUGGAGGAUCAGCGAUUGUCAUCCUGGAGGUGUGACAGCAGUGGCAUACUCGAGGCAUGGGCGGAGUGUGUACACAGCAGGUGCUGAUGGCAUGGUCUGUAAGAUUGAUGCCUCAGAUGGAUCUGUUGCAGGGAAAUUUAAAUCUUCCUCCAAGGCAAUAUCUGCGUUGGCAGUUUCAUCAGAUGGAACAGUUUUGGCAACAGCAGCUGGUCAGUUGAGGACCUUUGACGCUUCUGACAACAAAAAAAUUCAAAAAUUCUCUGGGCAUCCGGUGUCUGUGAGAAACAUGAUUUUUAGUAACAAUGGCAAAUAUGUUCUGUCAUCUGGAGUUGGGGAACGCUAUGUUGCCAUUUGGGAGUUGGGCAGUGGUAAAAGUCAGAGUUCAAGCUGUAUACUCUCUAUGGUACACCCAGCAAUCUUUGUGGACUGCAUGUGUUCAGGUACUAAUGCUACUGAAGGAGAAAUAGAUGUGUUGGCUAUAUCUGAGGUUGGUAUCUGCUAUUUCUGGUCUGGGAAUAACAUGGAUGACUUGCGCAAUAAGAAGCCUACUAGGAUUGCCUUGUCCGAGUCCUCCCUUUCAAGAACGAAUCAGGAUUUCACGAUAUUUGCCGCAAAACUUCAAGGAAUAGAUGGACCUAAUUCGGCUCAUGUCCUUCUGGCAUAUGGAUCCGUGGUGAAACCAUCUUUUGAUAAGCUGCUGGUUUGUUAUGGUAAGGAUGUUAAUUUGGGUGUAUCUGAAGAUGGAGUUCUCUUACCUACAGUUCAACCCACCAUGCACCAGAAAGGUCAAUCUGCUAAAACAAAAGUAACUAUCACUGCUCUAGACCGCGCGAAUGCAGAAGAUGCCAUUCUUCCUCUUCCGAAGCUUCAUACACAAGAAAAAAAAAGGAAACAUGGUGUAACAAAACCGAGUGGCGUCAAACUUGCGAUUGAUAGUGACCUUGGUACCACUUCAAGGUUGACCGAGAAAAGAGUUCCGGUGCAAAGAAUUAAAAACGACAGCAUAUGCAUUGAAGAUCUGAUGAGGAAAUAUGGCGUCAUUGAUCAAAGUCUCGUCGGCCAUCCUGACAUGGCCACUAAAAUCUUAUCAGAUCUGUUUAGUAGCAGUGGCAUAACAAUUGACGCUAAUUUACCCAGCAAGAAGAUUCGAGCACAUCUAAGAUCUUUAAAGCCUGGAGAUGCUUGCAAGCUUCUAGAGAAUUUAGUAUGUGCAUGGAGAUCAAGAUCUGGUAGCGCUGAGCUUGUUUUGCGUUGGAUAUACUGCUUACUAGUAAUUCAUGGUCGUUUUAUCCCCUCGGAGAAAUCAAGAAAACUAAUUAGCGACCUGGAGAAGAUGUGUGCAGAAAGAUACACAGCAACUGAAGAUUUACUGAAGCUUUCUGGUCGUCUUCGGCUGAUAAUGGCACAGGUUGACAAGGAUGUGAAAGAUGUGUCGGCGAAGGCCGCAGUCCAAUCUGAUGAAGAGGAAGAAGAUGAAAUUGAUGAAAUGGUGUAUGGUGAAGACGUGGAUUUGUCUGAAAAUAGUGACGAUGAUGCCGAGUAG